AUGGAGCUCCUAGCUAGCCCUGCGCCGCCGCCACCACACCUACAACUCCAGUACUCUCCGCCUUCCUCGACCAAUCCUACCCCCGGCCUCCUUCAUCCCAGGCCAGAUCCGCCCGCCUCCAUCACCGCAGAGCUUCACGGCGCCGCGGCAAGAAUUUCCCUCCUGGGCUUCGCCGCCGCAGUAUUUCCGAUGAACUGAGUGCCAGGGUGCGCCUCCUAGCCUGCAGGGGCGCCGCUGAGGGGGACGACGCGAUCGAUGCUCCAUCACCGGCCUCUAUAUAUUGAGUCUUCACAGCGGGCGCCAGAUCUAGGGCUUCAAUUUGCCAUUUCGCCCUGCUCCCCGCAUACAUGGGCCGGUGGCAAAUCUGUCCUGAGCUAUCCAGUCAAUCUGUCUUUGGAGGCAUUCUUGUCCAUUAACUGACAAUGCAACGGUACUACUAUGUGUACUACAAAGAGCCUUAAUUUCAUUGGGUUGAUUCAGAAGCAAUGGUUUGCUGGGCAGCCAAGGAUGAGAUGACUCGCCCCCCAAAUAGGCGUUAAUAUGAAAACAAAAGGCACUGUUCUCAAUCAACUUCUGCAAGCAGUAUGAUGGAGCGGGUGUUAUAUAUUUGCAUACCUGAACAGGUAUUGUGGUGGGAAAGGUUGCAAAGAUAGAUACCAUCCCCCUUCUACAGAUCCUUCCUAGCUAGGAAUAUUUGGAUGCGAUAGAGUCCGUGUGGGAUGUCAAGGAGAUUGAGGGUAAGAAGAAAAAAAACCUCCAUUUAUCGGUUCUUUGUUAUUCCUUGGAAUGCAGAACAGCAAGCAAUAUCUUGUUAAGUAUAGGAAUCGGGCCCAUGUCCAUAAUCAUUGCGGUUAGAGAAGGCAUAUUACCGACACCCCUGGAAGUCCUGAUCUUAUUUCCUUCUUUAAUAAGAGGAACCAUACUAAAAAGGUUAUCACUUUUUGUGGUGAACUCUACUUCUUUAUGCCUGUUAGGGAUUUUUCAGGCUUUGCAAAAGACCUUUGCUAAUGCUUCUUUUCACA